AGCAACCACUAGUUUGAUUCAUUUCAGUCAAGAACCCAUUGUUUUCAAGGACAUUAAAUAACAAUUUAAUGACAUGAAGUUGUUGUCGGUCCAAGGCUUUGUCGUCGUCACUUUGUGCCUCAUGAUAGUGGAAACCUUCGGUUUGAAAUGUUUUUACUGCGAUGAUAAGGACCCACAUUGCCGGAAUUUCAGUUCAGAUUCAUGUCCAUCGGAUUUCAUCUGCUUUGAAAUUACGCUGAGUACAGGUCACAAAAAAGGAUGUACCCUAUUGAAAACGUACUGCGAGCACUAUAAUGACCGCAUCGGACCACUUAUUAUCGAUUGCCAUACAUGCCUCGAAGACUAUUGCAACAGAGCUGACAGAUUUCAAUCCUUUAAUUGGAUGUAUGUUUUCGUAGUGGCGAGUUUGAGCAUUACUAAGUGGACAUUCUGUUGAUCUGGCCGAGAAAUACAAAAAUGAAUUGACUUCAGAGUCUAGUUUAUUAACAUUACUUUUCGGGUGCAACGACAAAGACAUUGAAUGCACGUCCAUCCCACCUUACAAACUGGGUCGCUCCAACUUCCAUUGACCAUUUUGCAGAAAAUGAACUUUCCGAGCCAACUACUCCUAGAGAGUUUAUGUCACCUAUACGAUUGUUAACGUAUUCGUAAAUAUAUUUGCAUCUGGUGUUGCUGUCGACAUUCCAUUUUCGGCUAUCCAAAAUUUUCUUGAGCCUGCUGGCAAUGUUAUCAUCAUUGUUAUUUGUGUGUACCACAUUGAUGU